rnacentral:rRNA from 1 species
UACGUAGGUGACCAGCGUUGUCCGGAUUUACUGGGCGUAAAGAGCGCGCAGGCGGUCGUUCAAGUCGAGUGUGAAAGCCCCCGGCUCAACUGGGGAGGGUCACUCGAUACUGAUCGACUUGAAGGCAGGAGAGGGAAGCGGAAUUCCCGGUGUAGUGGUGAAAUGCGUAGAUAUCGGGAGGAACACCAGUGGCGAAGGCGGCUUCCUGGCCCUGUUCUUGACGCUGAGG